rnacentral:rRNA from 1 species
CCUACGGGGGGCAGCAGUGGGGAAUAUUGCGCAAUGGGCGAAAGCCUGACGCAGCGACGCCGCGUGAGGGAUGAAGGUCUUCGGAUCGUAAACCUCUGUCAGCAGGGAAGAACGGUCACUGUGCUAAUCAGCAGUGAAUUGACGGUACCUGCAAAGGAAGCACCGGCUAACUCCGUGCCAGCAGCCGCGGUAAUACGGAGGGUGCGAGCGUUAAUCGGAAUUACUGGGCGUAAAGGGCUCGUAGGCGGUAUGUCAAGUCAAGGGUGAAAUCCCCGCGCUCAACGUGGGAACUGCCUUUGAAACUGGGAAGCUGGAGGGUGUGAGAGGAUAGUGGAAUUCCAGGUGUAGGGGUGAAAUCCGUAGAUAUCAGGAGGAACAUCAGUGGCGAAGGCGACUAUCUGGCACAUAACUGACGCUGAGGAGCGAAAGCGUGGGUAGCAAACAGGAUUAGAUACCCGAGUAGUC